rnacentral:rRNA from 1 species
AAAGAUCUAAAUAAGUUCUAUUGUUUUUGUUUCAAAAAAAUUUUAUAAAUUUAUUUAGUUGUGAAAUUCCAAUCGCUUUUAUUAAUAUCUAGUAACUUUAGAAAUAAAUUUAGUUUAGAAUAAUUAGGAAAUUUUUAUUAAAUAUUUUUUCUUGAUUUAUUUUUAAGUCUUUGGGGAUGAGCUCARAGAUUAAUUUAUAAGGAUAAAAAUUAUUUUAUUUUAUUUAUAGGCUUAGAAUUAGCCAUUUGAUAUUGUUAUAAAAUAUAAUCUAAAUUUUUUGAUUUUUUUUUCUUUUUGUUUUAUAAAGUUAAUUAAUAAACUACAUAAAUUUUGAGAAUAUGAUAACAUUAGUAGAUAAGUAAAUAUUGAUUUUUUUUUAAAUUUAUCUUUAUAAAUUUAAAUUAAUAAUUUUAACAAAAGAACUCGGCAAAUAAAAUUUCCGAAUGUUUAACAAAAACAUUUCCUCCUAGUUUAGGAGGUAAAGCCUGCUCACUGAGAAUUUAAAGAGCCGCAGUAUCCUAACUGUGCUAAGGUAGCAUAAUCAUUAGUCUUUUAAUUGGAGACUGGUAUGAAUGGCUUAACGAGAAAUUGACUUUUUUUGUUAAAAAAAUUGAACUUAAUUUUUUAGUGAAAAAGCUAAAAUAAUUCAGAAAGACGAGAAGACCCUAUAGAGUUUUAUAUUUUGUAAUAUUUAUUUUUAUUAGAUUUUUAAAAAGUAAGUAUGUAGAAAUAUUUUGUUGGGGCGACAUUUAGAUAAAAAAAACUCUUUAUUUUUAUAAUUUUAAUAAAAAUUUUGUUUGAUCCUUUAUAAAAGAUCAAAAGAAAAAAUUACCUUAGGGAUAACAGCGUAAUCUUUUUUGAGAGUUCUAAUCGACAAAAAGGUUUGCGACCU